rnacentral:ncRNA from 19 species
CUAUAAAUAAAAAAAUUAACUCGUAUAUUUUCAAGAAUACGGCUUGAAAGUUUCUACCAGGCUACCUUAAAUAGCUUGACUACGAGUUUAAUGUCUAUAGUA